GGCUCAGAUUGAACGCUGGCGGCAGGCCUAACACAUGCAAGUCGAGCGGUAGAGAGAAGCUUGCUUCUCUUGAGAGCGGCGGACGGGUGAGUAAUGCCUAGGAAUCUGCCUGGUAGUGGGGGAUAACGUUCGGAAACGGACGCUAAUACCGCAUACGUCCUACGGGAGAAAGCAGGGGACCUUCGGGCCUUGCGCUAUCAGAUGAGCCUAGGUCGGAUUAGCUAGUUGGUGGGGUAAUGGCUCACCAAGGCGACGAUCCGUAACUGGUCUGAGAGGAUGAUCAGUCACACUGGAACUGAGACACGGUCCAGACUCCUACGGGAGGCAGCAGUGGGGAAUAUUGGACAAUGGGCGAAAGCCUGAUCCAGCCAUGCCGCGUGUGUGAAGAAGGUCUUCGGAUUGUAAAGCACUUUAAGUUGGGAGGAAGGGCAG
rnacentral:rRNA from 1 species